UUUGAUCAUGGCUCAAGAUGAACGCUGACAGAAUGCUUAACACAUGCAAGUCAACUUGAAUUUGGGUUUUUAACUUAGGUUUGGGUGGCGGACGGGUGAGUAACGCGUAAAGAACUUGCCUCACAGUUAGGGACAACAUUUGGAAACGAAUGCUAAUACCUAAUAUUAUGAUAAUAGGGCAUCCUAUAAUUAUGAAAGCUAUAAGCGCUGUGAGAGAGCUUUGCGUCCCAUUAGCUAGUUGGAGAGGUAACGGCUCACCAAGGCGAUGAUGGGUAGCCGGCCUGAGAGGGUGAUCGGCCACAAGGGGACUGAGACACGGCCCUUACUCCUACGGGAGGCAGCAGUGGGGAAUAUUGGACAAUGGACCAAGAGUCUGAUCCAGCAAUUCUGUGUGCAUGAUGAAGUUUUUCGGAAUGUAAAGUGCUUUCAGUUGGGAAGAAAGAAAUGACGGUACCAACAGAAGAAGUGACGGCUAAAUACGUGCCAGCAGCCGCGGUAAUACGUAUGUCACGAGCGUUAUCCGGAUUUAUUGGGCGUAAAGCGCGUCUAGGUGGUUAUGUAAGUCUGAUGUGAAAAUGCAGGGCUCAACUCUGUAUUGCGUUGGAAACUGUAUAACUAGAGUACUGGAGAGGUAAGCGGAACUACAAGUGUAGAGGUGAAAUUCGUAGAUAUUUGUAGGAAUGCCGAUGGGGAAGCCAGCUUACUGGACAGAUACUGACGCUGAAGCGCGAAAGCGUGGGUAGCAAAACAGGAUUAGAUACCCUGGUAGUCCACGCCGUAAACGAUGAUUACUAGGUGUUGGGGGUCGAACCUCAGCGCCCAAGCAAACGCGAUAAGUAAUCCGCCUGGGGAGUACGUACGCAAGUAUGAAACUCAAAAGGAAAUUGACGGGGACCCGCACAAGCGGUGGAGCAUGUGGUUUAAUUCGACGCAAACGCGAGGAACCUUACCAGCGUUUGACAUCUUAGGAAUGAGACAGAGAUGUUUCAGUGUCCCUUCGGGGAAAACCUAAAGACAGGUGGUGCAUGGCUGUCGUCAGCUCGUGUCGUGAGAUGUUGGGUUAAGUCCCGCAACGAGCGCAAACCCCUUUCGUAUGUUACCAUCAUUAAGUUGGGGACUCAUGCGAUACUGCCUACGAUGAGUAGGAGGAAAGGUGGGGAUGACGUCGAGUUCAUCGUGCCCCUUAUACGCUGGGCUACGCGCGUGCUACGAAUGGGUAGGGCGGAGAGUUGCGAAGGCUGUAGGGUG
rnacentral:rRNA from 1 species